GCCAGCGUGGUGUAGUGGUAUGAGCAUUGGACUAUGACUCUGGAGACCUGGGUUCAAAUUCCGACUCCGCCA